rnacentral:rRNA from 1 species
GGCCAGACUCCUACGGGAGGCAGCAGUGGGGAAUAUUGCACAAUGGGGGAAACCCUGAUGCAGCGACGCCGCGUGUGGGAAGACGGUCCUCUGGAUUGUAAACCACUGUCCCCAGGGACGAAGAUGACGGUACCUGGGGAGGAAGCUCCGACUAACUACGUGCCAGCAGCCGCGGUAAUACGUAGGGAGCGAGCGUUGUCCGGAAUUACUGGGUGUAAAGGGAGCGUAGGCGGGACUGCAAGUUGGGUGUCAAAUCUACCGGCUCAACCGGUAGCCGCACUCAAAACUGCAGUUCUUGAGUGAAGUAGGGGCAGGCGGAAUUCCUAGUGUAGCGGUGAAAUGCGUAGAUAUUAGGAGGAACACCAGUGGCGAAGGCGGCCUGCUGGGCUUUUACUGACGCUGAGGCUCGAAGGUGUGGGGAGCAAACAGGAUUAGAUACCCGAGUA